rnacentral:rRNA from 1 species
GAUGAGCGCUGGCGGCGUGCCUAAUACAUGCAAGUCGAGCGAACGGACGAGAAGCUUGCUUCUCUGAUGUUAGCGGCGGACGGGUGAGUAACACGUGGAUAACCUACCUAUAAGGCUGGGAUAACUUCGGGAAACCGGAGCUAAUACCGGAUAAUAUUUUGAACCGCAUGGUUCAAAAGUGAAAGACGGUCUUGCUGUCACUUAUAGAUGGAUCCGCGCUGCAUUAGCUAGUUGGUAAGGUAACGGCUUACCAAGGCAACGAUGCAUAGCCGACCUGAGAGGGUGAUCGGCCACACUGGAGCUGAGACACGGUCCAGACUCCUACGGGAGGCAGCAGUAGGGAAUCGUCCGCAAUGGGCGAAAGCCUGACGGAGCAACGCCGCGUGAGUGAUGAAGGUCUUCGGAUCGUAAAACUCUGUUAUUAGGGAAGAACAUAUGUGUAAGUAACUGUGCACAUCUUGACGGUACCUAAUCAGAAAGCCACGGCUAACUACGUG